rnacentral:rRNA from 1 species
AUGCACUUGGAUCAGAAGUUCAGAACCCUCCAUCCAGCCCAUACUGAAAUCUUCUUUUCCUCCGUUCAGAGAACACGUUGCCGGCUCCCUCUCGAUGUGCAACAACCAGACAAGGGACUGGAUUGUAAAACAUACUCCUUCGUAAGCGAGCCAAACAGAGGACCAAGAUUUAAUUUCAAAGAAUUGGCAGGGGCCGCGCGAACGCGUACCCCCUCUACCACAAAUUAUGACGUCCACUCUCCCACUUGGGGAGAUGGUGGGCCAACGCACCCACCAAGUGCAAUGUGGGCCAUUGACCCAGGCCACGGGCCUUCUUGA